UGGGGAAUCUUCCACAAUGGGCGCAAGCCUGAUGGAGCAACGCCGCGUGAGUGAAGAAGGUCUUCGGAUCGUAAAACUCUGUUGUUAGAGAAGAACAUGCAGGAGAGUAACUGUUCUUGUAUUGACGGUAUCUAACCAGAAAGCCACGGCUAACUACGUGGCAG
rnacentral:rRNA from 1 species